GACGAACGCUGGCGGCGUGCCUAAUACAUGCAAGUAGAACGCUGAAGUCUGGUGCUUGCACUAGACGGAUGAGUUGCGAACGGGUGAGUAACGCGUAGGUAACCUGCCUCAUAGCGGGGGAUAACUAUUGGAAACGAUAGCUAAUACCGCAUAACAGUAUUUACCGCAUGGUAGAUGCUUGAAAGGAGCAAUCCGCUGAUAGAUGAGCUUGCGUCUGAUUAGUUAGUUGGUAGGGUAACGGCCUACCAAGACGAUGAUCAGUAGCCGGACUGAGAGGUUGAACGGCCACAUUGGGACUGAGAUACGGCCCAG
rnacentral:rRNA from 1 species